rnacentral:tRNA from 1 species
GCACCCGUAGCUCAAUUGGAUAGAGCGCUGCGCUACGGACGCAGAGGUUGGGGGUUCGAAUCCUCCCGGGUGUACAA